UGGGCUGUAACUCAAAGUCAGAGCACUUGCCUAGCAUGCAUGAGGCACUAGGUUCGAUCCUCAGCAUCCCAU
rnacentral:tRNA from 1 species